rnacentral:rRNA from 1 species
GAUGAACGCUGGCGGCGUGCCUAAUACAUGCAAGUCGAGCGAACAGACGAUGAGCUUGCUCCUCUGACGUUAGCGGCGGACGGGUGAGUAACACGUGGAUAACCUACCUAUAAUACUGGGAUAACUUCGGGAAACCGGAGCUAAUACCGGAUAAUAUAUUGAACCGCAUGGUUCAAUAGUGAAAGACGGUUUUGCUGUCACUUAUAGAUGGAUCCGCGCCGCAUUAGCUGGUUGGUAAGGUAACGGCUUACCAAGGCGACGAUGCGUAGCCGACCUGGGAGGGUGAUCGGCCACACUGGAACUGAAACACGGUCCAGACUCCUACGGGAGGCAGCAGUAGGGAAUCUUCCGCAAUGGGCGAAAGCCUGACGGAGCAACGCCGCGUGAGUGAUGAAGGUCUUCGGAUCGUAAAACUCUGUUAUUAGGGAAGAACAAAUGUGUAAGUAACUAUGCACGUCUUGACGGUACCUAAUCAGAAAGCCACGGCUAACUACGUG